GGGGACUGGUGGGCAGGUCGGAGUUGCUCAUUGCCAGUUCUGAUGCCAUCCUUUUGCUGCUGACAGUCCUCCAGAAAGGGUGCACACCAGGAGCGAGGGGACUGCUCUGAGUUGCAACCGGCAAAUUGGGAAGGAAGAGUGAAAACCACGGUGGAUGUGCUUGGUUUAAACCUCGACAGCGCCACCUUUCGGCAAAGGUGCAGAAUACUCUCUAGGCAAAGAGAUGGAGCACCAAUGCUAUACCUGACCAUGAAUGAGAUGCAUUGAGUGUCUGCUUCAUGGCUGGGAAUCACUGUACAGCCACUCUGCAAUUUUCCAGCCUAUCAAAGAUGACAUGCAGCUAGCACGCUGUAAAGCUAAGCACCUGCACUGUGGCUCUGAACUGCAUUCAGAAGGCAUUUGCUUCCAUUCUUGGAGCAGUAAUAGCACUUCAAGAGGUCACAGAGUACAUAGGCACUUUAAUCAUUUUGCAGAACCAUCUUUAGGUUAGGUCUGGUGACAUCCAGGACCGGCUCCAGCUGUUUUGCCACCCCAAGCAGUGAAUAAAAAAAGAGAAAAAAGAAAAAUUUGAUUGAGCUGCUGCCUAAGUGCCACCGAAGAACGAGAGAGGGACUGAUCGACUGGUUGCCGAAUUGCCACAGACCCAGACGUGCCUCCCCAAUAACGGACGGAGUGCUGCCCCUUUCUAUUGGCCACCCCAGGCAGUUGCUUCCUUCGCUGGUGCCUGGAGCUGGCCCUGGUGACAUCACGUUGAGUAUCAUUCCACUGACUCACAGGCAUUAACUGUGAGCUCUAGAAAAGACUUGGCAGGAUGAGUUCGUCCGCAUGUUUCAGAUGACCGAUUUGGGACAGCUGGCUGACAGUUUUACAUCAGCUCUUGCUAGUGGAAAUCCAGAGCUUGGCCCGAGAUUUACAAAUUGAAUGUGCUGCCUCUAGAAAAAUGCCAAGAUGGUUAAAAAAGCAAAACCAGGUACCCACAUUGAGCUCGUCUCCUGAAGACUUGAGAGUGCUUAGCCAAGGACGGUAAGUAUCAGUAUCUCCCCAGCAUUUUACAGGUAUGGAAACUGCCACAGCCAGGCUAACUGGCUCCUCAAAAAUAGCACAGGAAAUUUCUGGCAAAAAAUCUAGACUCCACUGACUCCCAGUCCUGUGCUUAAACAAACAAAACCUUUCUCCACAUCUCAACUGUUGAAGCCAGGAGGAAAACUGAAAUGGAGAAAUAAUGAAGACCCUUCUGAGUGACACAAUUACUUCUUCAGUAAAGUGUGAUGACUGAGAAAUGGAAAACAUGCAAAUUUGGACCACAUAAAACCAAAUUUCUGAACACAUCUGCACAACACCAACUCCAUCACACAUGCACACCACUCCCUUCUCCUUUCCUCUUCCCCAGUAAAUUGUACUAUGUGAGCACAAAUUUCAUGGCAUACACAUGUGCCAGGCUACUCAUCUCCAGUGGUACUUAGAUGCCACAGUGAUGGGUAAAAAUUGAAUACAAUAGACAGGGAGAUAGCUAGAUGGAGAGAACAUGCUCAAAGCACAAGCUUCACAAUGUGCAUGAGAUGCAAGCUCCAACACAAAUUCCAUAUCAUGCCUGCAUAAUGCAAGUUGCAUGGCAUAUGCAAGCUCCUUAAUGGAUGUGUGAGCUGCAACUACAGCAAAAUCUUCAAUGUGUGUAAUAAAAAUUCAGCAACAUGUUUGUAACAUAAUUCUUACGAUGUGCACAGGUGCAAAAAUAUGGCUAAGACCUAAGUUCCCUAAAACAUGCAGAGCACAAAUUUCACUAUGCAGGAAGGUAACACAAAUUCCAUGAUUUACAUAACUUCCAUUACACACUUUCCUAUAGUCAAAGACUGAAAGCCUUCAUUGCCAAGUACUUCAGAGGAGUGACCGCUGUGCCCAUUGAUUUGUCAAAGAUAUUGGGAAGGUAAAGAUUGACCUGCUUCCUGUCAUGAGGUGCUCAGAACUGUGCAUCUCACACACAGUGAAAGUGCUCUUAGAGGAGCCUGGUUGGAGGUGCUCUCCUAUUCCAGUCAGUAGGCGCUCCUCAUACAGCCAGAUAUGGAGCAUAGCCAGGCUAGCAUAAAUACACUUCACCAUAGUAACUAGAGCUGGAGUUUCUCUGGCUGUUGGUUAUUGCUGUUUUGGACAUUGGUCCUCUGAAGCCACAAGGACAAUACUAAAGAGUGGACUAGAAUGUACUGGUAAAGUGGUCAACUAAUUUUUGACUAAACUGUUUUCUGGCAAAAAAUUCUGUUUUGUUGAGACGAAAAUGUUUUGCAAAACACACCUUGGUUUCUAAGGUACAGGCUGGAAUUUUGUGAAGGUUGGAACAGAAGAACAAGAGUCAGCCACCUAGAAUAGUCAGAGGAUUAGGGCACUCAUCUAGAAUUUGAGAGACCAACAUUCAAAUCCCUAUUUUGAGGGACUGAGAAGAGACUUGAACCUGGGCCUCUUUACAUCCCAGGUGAGUGCCCCAAUAACCUGGCUAUUCUCAGGCAGGCCUCACACUCUUAUUUUUUUCACACAAUAUUCAAAAGGUUUCUGUUUUGUUCCACAUCACAAUAAAAACAAAUUUGAAAAUCUCAAUUUCUUUUUUUGUGUGAAACAGAAUUGCUGUUUUCCAGCCAGCUCUAAUCAGCAUACAUAGACUAGGAAAAUCAUUGUACCUCGAUCCCCUGUUGAUAAUAUAGAAGGUCUUUCAAGACCUCAUAUAUUGCAGGCAGUAGAGAAGGGAUGUGAGUCAGAAUCUCUCAUCUCAGUUCCACUUGAAUCACUUAUUCCCUUGGUUUAGUGAAACCUAAGUAGCUGUUACAGCUAAAAGUCCCAGGGUGCCUAUGUUCUUUAACAUAUAACUUAAUUUCCAAAACAAAUAAUUGCAACUAAGAUUCUAAGUGUCACUCUUCCCAAGAGACUCUGAUGAAUAUGCAAAAAUUCUAAUGAUCAGUCUGCACUGAAACUAACUAUACUUAUACUGUCAAUAGGGCUUGUAUAGUUUCCCCCCUUGUCUAUAGCUAAAAGGGGUCAUCCAUAUACCUAUCUUAGUGUAGACAGUCUGCUCUGACCUACCACCAAAUGCCAGAUCACAUCCUUGUAAUGUAUCACAGAACAUCCAGUCUGAACAGCUCAAAACUGAAUAUAGGAUCAUGAUACAUCCCUUGCUCUCUUUGGUGGCUGAAUCUUUUCUUUUUCUGGCCCUUCUCCCUUUAGUUUUAACACUGACCUAAUUAUUUAUAUGCAGCCUAUGUGCUACAAUGUGUAUCAGUUGUGAGUUCUUUUACUAUGCACAGAUUAUACAUCAGCUUGCUAUGUGAUGCCUGCAAAAAUAUUUAUUCACAAGCCAUUUUAACUAAAAUGUGUCAUUCUAUAGUGAUGCCAUCAAAGCUGAAUAUGGAAAAUGUACUUUCUUAAUUGCUUUGAUAUGCAUAUAUACACCCAUUCAAGAGAAAAUGCAGUUCAGGGACAUUUACAACAGCAACAACAACAAUUUGUGCCUGUGAAUUUAAAAGGCCUUGUAAAAUGUGUCCUCCUGAUUGCUUUUUAUACUUAGAUUAUAUCUUAUAUUCAUGCAGAGUUACAUAACUUGAAUUACAUACAUAAGUGACACUGGUAUUCCUUACUGUCUCAUCAACAUUGCUCCUCCCUGACAUAGAGGGACAACCUUCAGGCCAUGUCCCAUGGUCCUUGUGUUCUUGGCCUGUCUGCUGAGCCGUACUUGUCUAAUGCCAUCUUUCCCUUUGUCAUAUAGCACUUCUCCACCUCUAUGCCGGAUUCAGCCACUUGGGGAGAAGAGGUGCUUUUGUUUCCAAACAACUAAAGAAAGUCCACGUAUAUACCUGAAAUCUAUAUGCCUUCAGGGAAACUUCUAGCUGCUCCUUGUGUCUGCUGCAUUUAAACAAAGUGGAUUCAAAACAUACCCAGUAAAAUAGUUUUGAUUACUUCUGAGUUAGUUCACCUUGAUUUAAACUAGUAGCUGAGAGGUUAAAGGACCCAAUAUACUAGUUCUGAUUACCUCAAUCAUCCUGCCUUUCCCUCACUUUUCAUUAAAAGGUGUACAAAGGAAUUUGUAAAAGAAUAGACUUUGAAAAUCAAUACAAACUAUAACAUGGAACUUCUUGUCAGGGCAUACUGAGUAAUAUUGAUUUUGUCUAAAAACUAAAGGAUCCUGCUUAUGAAGUCAAGCUGUUGCAUUCUGAGCCAUUUGGAUUCUAGAUCUGAGUACUUUAGGAUUCUAAAAUCCUUGAGUUUUGGCCCUGUACAGAUUUCCUAACUCCUUCCCCACCUUUCCUUUUUCAAAUUUGAGGUCUAGACUUUGGGUUUACCAGUAAAUCAGAGUUAGGUGCAGUUGCCCUGCCCCAGGAGUGGACCAGGGACAGAAAUGAGACUCCAAAUGUCACCAUCGUGGGGGGAAUAAUUUGUAUCUUUACCUGGCACCAGCUGUGCCCAAUGGAGUAUUGGGGGAAGGGCAGAGUCAAAGCUCUGAUCACUCCACUGCCUUGAAUAAUCCCCAUCCAUCUGCACAGGCGAGGGAUAUCAGCCUGCAGAGGGUGCUUUCCUCACUAAACUGUAACCCAUGCCUGCAGAUGAGCAUAAGGGAUGCUUUGUUAUUCCCCUGUCUGGGCAUGUGGGGCCUGCCACAAUCCUGUUCUAAAAGUCUCCUGCAGCCUUGUACAACACAAAGCUUUCCCAGCAGAGAGAGCCUGGGCAGCAUCUUCUUUCUGCAUUGCUAACAAGAACUGCUGAGAAAGGCUAGAAUGGCGGGUGCCAGAAUCUGGAAUUAGAUACAAGUUAAUUACAUUUCAUUACUCAAGACUGGGACAUCAAAUAUCUGUCCAGGAUUUUAUAUUUAUUGUUAGGGGGAUGAUGUACAAUUUGCAAGUAGAAUUAUUGUAAAUGACCCUAUUGAUAACUCCAACCAUUCCGUUGUAUGAAAUCACCUUGCCAGCUUCCUUGUGGUCUGCUAAAAUAAAGGUUCUUUAAUUAUGCUGAAGACACUGGUAAGACUGAAAAUUGUCCGCUCUUACUAAGAUGGCUUUCUCUGUUACUGGGUACUGGUGAAUUGUUGGGGUAUAAUUAAAUUAAAAGGAUGCUGCAACAUCUAAGAGGCCAAAGUCAUAAA